rnacentral:rRNA from 1 species
GAUGAACGCUGGCGGCGUGCCUAAUACAUGCAAGUCGAGCGAACGGACGAGAAGCUUGCUUCUCUGAUGUUAGCGGCGGACGGGUGAGUAACACGUGGAUAACCUACCUAUAAGACUGGGAUAACUUCGGGAAACCGGAGCUAAUACCGGAUAAUAUUUUGAACCGCAUGGUUCAAAAGUGAAAGACGGUCUUGCUGUCACUUAUAGAUGGAUCCGCGCUGCAUUAGCUAGUUGGUAAGGUAACGGCUUACCAAGGCAACGAUGCAUAGCCGACCUGAGAGGGUGAUCGGCCACACUGGAACUGAGACACGGUCCAGACUCCUACGGGAGGCAGCAGUAGGGAAUCUUCCGCAAUGGGCGAAAGCCUGACGGAGCAACGCCGCGUGAGUGAUGAAGGUCUUCGGAUCGUAAAACUCUGUUAUUAGGGAAGAACAUAUGUGUAAGUAACUGUGCACAUCUUGACGGUACCUAAUCAGAAAGCCACGGCUAACUACGUGCCAGCAGCCGCGGUAAUACGUAGGUGGCAAGCGUUAUCCGGAAUUAUUGGGCGUGAGCGCGCGUAGGCGGUUUUUUAGUCUGAUGUGAAAGCCCACGGCUCAACCGUGGAGGGUCAUUGGAAACUGGAAAACUUGAGUGCAGAAGAGGAAAGUGGAAUUCCAUGUGUAGCGGUGAAAUGCGCAGAGAUAUGGAGGAACACCAGUGGCGAAGGCGACUUUCUGGUCUGUAACUGACGCUGAUGUGCGAAAGCGUGGGGAUCAAACAGGAUUAGAUACCCUGGUAGUCCACGCCGUAAACGAUGAGUGCUAAGUGUUAGGGGGUUUCCGCCCCUUAGUGCUGCAGCUAACGCAUUAAGCACUCCGCCUGGGGAGUACGACCGCAAGGUUGAAACUCAAAGGAAUUGACGGGGACCCGCACAAGCGGUGGAGCAUGUGGUUUAAUUCGAAGCAACGCGAAGAACCUUACCAAAUCUUGACAUCCUUUGACAACUCUAGAGAUAGAGCCUUCCCCUUCGGGGGACAAAGUGACAGGUGGUGCAUGGUUGUCGUCAGCUCGUGUCGUGAGAUGUUGGGUUAAGUCCCGCAACGAGCGCAACCCUUAAGCUUAGUUGCCAUCAUUAAGUUGGGCACUCUAAGUUGACUGCCGGUGACAAACCGGAGGAAGGUGGGGAUGACGUCAAAUCAUCAUGCCCCUUAUGAUUUGGGCUACACACGUGCUACAAUGGACAAUACAAAGGGCAGCGAAACCGCGAGGUCAAGCAAAUCCCAUAAAGUUGUUCUCAGUUCGGAUUGUAGUCUGCAACUCGACUACAUGAAGCUGGAAUCGCUAGUAAUCGUAGAUCAGCAUGCUACGGUGAAUACGUUCCCGGGUCU